AUUAGCUAUUUCUUGCCACCAUCUUGGAUUCGUAUUUGUGGUCUGUUGGAUCCAGUCAGAAUGCAGCCUCUAGUAGCCCGAGCUAUGAAUUAUUUCAGGGGUACUCUACCCCAUCUGUAUGAAAUACGUUUCCUCAUAGCAGGAUUUGGAAUAGUAUAUUAUGGAGUAUACAAGAUCCAGAAAGCUGGUGAAAAGAAAGCAAUCUCAGACACCCCGCAUCAUUAAUGGUUGGUUGGUCCUUCACCUGUACAUUCAUCAACAAGAUAUUAAUGGUUUUUUUAUCGCUUAUGAUACAAUUUGUAAUGAUAUCAACAUAAUAUCAUCUUUGCAGCUUGAAUGAAUGGAAUAUUUUGAUAUGCUUGUGUGAAAUGAAAUAAACCUUGGUUGAAGAUUAAAAAGUGAUAAGUUAUAAA